UUUUUUGUGUUAAAGUUCUGGGUAUUCAUAUGUAUGUUGAGAUACAAGUCAAUUAGAGCAUAAUUUUUUUUUUUUCAUUUUCCGUCAUGGCGUUAAAGCUUGUGUUUUUAUGGCUGAUUAUGGUGAUACUACAGAGAAGGAGGAGGAAGAAGAAGAAUCAAGUUUGCUUGUGAGGCAGAGUAACAAGGUUAAGGUGAAAUGGUGAAUGAGUCUGCUACUCUAUCAAGUUACAACACUAUUUCAUAAUUUUACAAGGCUAGUGUCCAAGCAAGGCAUGUUGGCAUAACACGGGAAAUUCAUCCCUCACAACAAAUACAGGGAAAACUUCUGCAUGAAGCUCAAAAAAUAAAUAGAGCUAAGUUGUUGAGAAUACAAGAAGCUGCAGCCAAGCGUGUGAGAGCAGUUGCAUAGGCCCCGUCUCUUCAGCUCCUUAUAGUGCAUGACGGUGGGGAGUCGUGUUUUCUCUUUCUUGUCGUGCCCUCACUCCGCUACCGCGCACGGUCAUGGAAUUGUAAAUCCUAACUUUCUAAGAAAAUCGAUCUGAACUCAUAGGAACAGAAACGGGUGAGUUGAGCUCCGUAAAUCGGGCGACUGACUCAGUGAAAAUUUCUUCGUCAAAUCUUCGUUUCUUGUGCUCAGUUCCAUUAAUUCAGGUGAAAUUUACCCUAAACUUCAUCUGAAUCCGUUUCUUUUCCUUAUGACUAGUCAUUAAAUCAGGUGGUUUUAUGGAUUCUCGUCCUAAAUCCACUAUUUUUGAAUCUUUUAAGUCAAAUAUGUUAGGUUUCAAUAAAGAAAAUAAUUCUCAAGUAAUUCCAUCGAUUAAAUUACCAGAUGAUUUGUUUGAAGAAAGCAUUAACCUUUGGAUAUUUUCUCUUAUUGGAAGACUUAAUUUACAACAGACUAAAUGUGUUGAUGCUGCUGUUAUUCUUCGUCAACAAUGGAAAUUGACAGGUGACUGUAAACUCAUUCCAUUAGGAAGAAGUUUUUUCAUAAUUAAGUUGGAUAAUGAAACAGAUCGUCAAUAUAUCAAGGAAGGCAAAUAGGAAGUUCUUAAUCAGAUUUUAAAAAUAAGAAAAUGGAUCUCUAAUUUUCGUCCAGAAAUUCAGAAAACUUCAAAAGCUAUGGUAUGGGUUAGAUUACCAGGACUAGGUCUUGAAUUUUGGAGUGAAAAGAUUCUGUUUAAGAUUUGCAAGGAAAUUUGUACACCAAUCAAACUAGAUGAAGCUACAACUAAAUGUGAGGUUGGGUAUUAUGCAAAUGUGCUUGUUGAAGUUGAUUUUGCAAAUACUAUUCCUAACAAAGUUUGGAUUGGCACUAAAGAUGGUGGUUUUUUUCAGGAUAUCUCAAUUCCUGUACGUCCAAAGUUUUGCUCAACAUGUAAAAUAGUUGGGCAUUUUAUUACAGAAUGUAGGGUUGAGAGGAACAAGAUACAUCAAGCAAGUAAUGAUCAGAUUAAUAAUAAUAGCAAGCCUACAUCAACUCAUGUUCAGCACCAAACUCCUAAAGCUAAUAUUGAUCAUACUCCAUUUGA